AACGCUAGCUACAGGCUUAACACAUGCAAGUCGAGGGGCAGCAUUAGGUAGCAAUACUGAGAUGGCGACCGGCGCACGGGUGCGUAACGCGUAUCCAACCUUCCCGUUACUCUUGGAUAGCCUUCCGAAAGGGAGAUUAAUACAAGAUGGUGUUGAAAUUCCGCAUGUUAUUUCAACUAAAGAUUUAUCGGUAACGGAUGGGGAUGCGUGACAUUAGAUAGAUGGCGGGGUAACGGCCCACCAUGUCCACGAUGUCUAGGGGUUCUGAGAGGAAGGUCCCCCACACUGGAACUGAGACACGGUCCAGACUCCUACGGGAGGCAGCAGUGAGGAAUAUUGGUCAAUGGCCGAAAGGCUGAACCAGCCAAGUAGCGUGAAGGAUGAAGGUUCUAUGGAUUGUAAACUUCUUUAUACGGGAAUAAAACCUCCCACGUGUGGGAGCUUGUAUGUACCGUAUGAAUAAGCAUCGGCUAACUCCGUGCCAGCAGCCGCGGUAAUACGGAGGAUGCGAGCGUUAUCCGGAUUUAUUGGGUUUAAAGGGAGCGUAGGCGGGAUAUUAAGUCAGUCGUCAAAGCCUGUGGCUCAACCACAGCCCGCGAUUGAUACUGGUAACCUUGAGUGCGGAUGAGGUGGAUGGAAUUCGUGGUGUAGCGGUGAAAUGCUUAGAUAUCACGAAGAACUCCGAUUG
rnacentral:rRNA from 1 species